rnacentral:tRNA from 1 species
GCUCUGAUAGCUCAGUUCGGUAGAGCACCUGACUUUUAAUCAGGAUGUCAUAGGUUCAAAUCCUAUUCGGAACA